GACGAACGCUGGCGGCGUGCCUAAUACAUGCAAGUUGAACGCUUCUUUCUUAUCAAACUUCGGUUCACCAAGAAAGAAGAGUAGCGAACGGGUGAGUAACACGUGGGUAACCUGCCCAUCAGCGGGGGAUAACACUUGGAAACAGGUGCUAAUACCGCAUAAUACUUUUUCUCUCAUGAGUGAAAGUUGAAAGGCGCUUUUGCGUCACUGAUGGAUGGACCCGCGGUGCAUUAGCUAGUUGGUAGGGUAACGGCCUACCAAGGCAACGAUGCAUAGCCGACCUGAGAGGGUGAUCGGCCACACUGGGACUGAGACACGGCCCAGACUCCUACGGGAGGCAGCAGUAGGGAAUCUUCGGCAAUGGACGAAAGUCUGACCGAGCAACGCCGCGUGAGUGAAGAAGGUUUUCGGAUCGUAAAACUCUGUUGUUAGAGAAGAACAAGGAUGAGAAGAGAAUGUUCAUCCCUUGACGGUAUCUAACCAGAAAGCCACGGCUAACUACGUGCCAGCCGCCGCAGUAA
rnacentral:rRNA from 1 species